GUGCUUGCUAUGGCAACACAUAUACUAAAAUUGGAACGAUACAGAGAAGAUUAGCAUGGCCCCUUUGCACAGACUACAAUAUGUAAAACAAAGACUUUACCUCCUCCU